GUUGAACUACGACGUUGGUGACUGCCCUCAAGUUUUUUGAUCUAUGUCUUUAACGAAAAGGGAACUAAUUAGUUCUUGUGGCCGUAGACCGAGAUUUUACUCGGAAACUUUAAACAAGCAACAGCCAUUCCCACCUGGUUUAACCAGGUCAUAAACUUAGGUAAAACGGCGUUGUGGUCAACUA
rfam:Raphidiopsis brookii D9 D9_54, whole genome shotgun sequence.